CUCCAAUCUCCCGAACGGGACCCGUACGGGUGCUCCAACUCCCGAACAGUAAACCCACGAAUCGCUGCUAACAGCCGCAUAAAUAUAUCCUCCAAGCGGCUUACGCUUCCAUCAAACAGUCGCUAUACGUGUGUAGUAAAUCCUCCCAAUAACCAGACCAAGUUCCGAAUUAAGGGUAAAACAAGAACUGGCUUUACUGUGGGCUACCCGCCCAUAUUUAUGCAGGUCUCCCACUUGGUGGACACUCCCCUAGGGGACCAAAUGGGAGACUGUAAUGGCAGACAGACAUAUAGCAUGUUAGAACACACAGGCACAGAAUAUUCCCAGCAUGCAUCAUGAUUUCCUCCCCUCUGCCCUGGAGAUAAUUGAGAAUGAAUUAAAUUAUCUCCUAGGAUUAUCUCCCAUCGCCAUUUUAAAUAAAGCCUGAAAAACACAUAAAAAUAAAUAAUUACACAACUACCGAACAUAUUAUAUUUGUGUAACACAUCCCCAGAUAGCCUGGAUCUGAGUGCAUAUUCUUAGCGAAUAGCGCUCAGAUCUAGUGAUGUCCCGAACGGUUCGCCGGCAAAUAGUUCCCGGCGAACAUAGCUUGUUUGCGUUCGCCAUGGAUGGCGAACAUAUGCGAUGUUCGGUC